AGAGAGCAAUUACAUUAACUUGAAUUUUGAAAUAAUUUAAAAUUAUACACUUAAUGCCAAAUGUUUUUUCUUUAAGUAACUUGGGUAGAAAUAAUUAUAAAUGCCAUACCUUUUCUUCUUGAAUAGAGUGUAUCAAGUAUAACAUUUUUUUCUAGACCUUCCAUUCUUCUGGACAUAGAAGAUAAUAUUGUAUUACAGUGGGUGAUGUGCCAAUGGCUCUUAUGAUCUGUCAAUUUUCUAUUUUUUCUUCACUUAAUGGCUCCAAAUGGCCAAAUGGCUUAAAUUCCCUUGCCUGUUUUGUUAAUAUUGUAUUCUCCUUCCUCAAUAUUAGCCUCAUAGGUAUCAUCUCUUCUUUUCUCAUCAUUCUCCAAUCUGGUAAAUCUCCCUAAACUACCUAGAUUAAUUGCCACAUUGCCUAAACCAAAGACCUCUGUAGUAAGUCAUGAAGAAAUCUAACUCAAAUACUCAGUUUGGAGAAUUAGAAGAAGUACAAGGAGAGAGACAGAAGCACAUCAUGGGACACCAGAAUGGCAAGAAGCAUCCUACCAGCCUCAUGGGAGGGACUCAACUUCAAUGCAUGCUUUCCAUUUGAAUGGGAGUGGUUGGGCGGCUGGAGGCCACUGUGAGUCUGAGGAUGGAGGCAAGAUGUGAAGAUGCUGGAAUGAGGAAUGGGAAGGGAGUAGUAAGAGGUGAGCUGAGGCCUGGUCUACAUGAGCAUAGCCCCAAUGCUGUAGAGGGUGAGGGUAGUGUUAUGUGCACACACUGCUGGUGGGCUGCACCUUGCACAAAACAAUUUGGCAAUACACACCAAUAACUUUAGAAAUGUUUAUACAUAUUGGUCCAGUAGUCCCACUGCUGGGAAUCCAUACAAAGGAAAUAUUUAUAUUCAUAAGGAAAAGACAAC
rnacentral:lncRNA from 1 species